AUAGAAUGUUUAAAGUUAUUUACCCUUCUUUCCUUCUUGUACUGAUUGUGGAUGUAGGAAGGGGAAAAAAAAAGAAGAAGCAAAUCUUGUUAUUUACGAGUCUGCAAUCUUUGUUUCAACUGAAACAAUGCAUUUAUGACCUUUUAGGUCCUAUUGUUGGAGUGAGUUCUUAAUAGUGGUAUUCAAGUAAGACCUAAUCAUAUUGGUGUAAUAUGCUAGUAUGUUGCUUGACAUAAUAGUGGGAUCAUAUGUUAUUUUAUUGUUCCCAAAUGGAGUAACAUGGUCAUAACAUGUUUGAUUUUUCAUGUUGAUUUGCCUAGAAAUGAACCUAAGGUAGCAUUGGACAUUGAUGAUUCAAGAAUCUGGCCAUUUUAUAGGGUUGCAAAUGGAUCCAUUCUCCAAAAAUCAACCCAUCCCAGAUUAAUUUUUAAGUGGGCCUUUGAACUGAGUUGAGAUUUCUAGAGUUUGCUUCCUUUAUGGUAUUUGGGUAAAAUUCUCUUUUCCUAUCCAAUAUUUCUCUAUGGUUUGGAAGUAUUACAGUCUUAAUGUAUUUUUUAAUUGCUUCAGGUGGAUUUAAAAUUUUCUCUAUAUAUACAUAAAAAUAAAAUAGGGCAGUGGUCCUAUGCCCCUAGAUUUUAGAUCAUACGAAAAUUCAUAUUUAUAUUUUUUGUGAAAUUAUUUUGCUAAUUCGAUGCAUCUGUUUUUAGAAUUGUUAGCAGUCCAAAAAAACAAGGGUUUUUUUUUUUGCAUUUUUAUACACAAUUCCUUCUAAGCUUGCUUUUAAGUUUCUUUUUUUUCCUUAGCUCUCUUAUUUUAUUCUUGGAAGCUGUAUGAUUAGAUGGAAGGAUAUGUCACAACUCACAAUCAAUUGGAGAAAAUCGAAUUUUAGAAUUUUUUGGGGAUGAACUAUGUCAAUGUUUUACAUCACAUCACACUCUUCCUUGAUUGGAUUGGGGAAAUCUGGUGCAGAUUACACAAGGAGGGUUUUAUUGGAUUGGGGACAGUGGUUUAAGAAUUUUCUUUUUGGUCACUAGUUGAAAGGUUAGAAUUUUCCUACUUGGGAGUUUUUCAGGCCAUGAGCCGUCCACAGUGGGGCCCAUCAUCUCUUUGGGUCACCAUAUUGAGAACCCAAGAAGACUAAAUGUACUCUGAUCAUGCAUUGUGUAUCUUCAAACUUCUUUCAUCAUAAUGAAACCUAAUGCGGGAAAAUGGAAUGCAGUGGUUAUAUGUCUCUAGAGUAUGCAAUGGAUGGGCUUUUCUCAGUGAAAUCAGAUGUCUUUAUCUUUGGGGUCUUACUGCUGGAGAUCAUUAAUGGUAAGAGGAACAACGACUGUUUCAGGGACGAUCCUUCACAGAAUUUGGUAAGAUAUAGAUAAUUCAGAAUUAGUAGAGACAGAUGGGUGGAAGGAUAUAAGCAUUGCCACACCACUGACAAGUUGUUCAAUAGAAAAUUUGAAAGGUAUGAUAUUCAAACAAGAAGUGUUGUAGUCCUGGCAUAUUGCUAUGUAGAUUUUCUUUUGUACAUUGUUCAAAAAACUUUUGGCCUGAGCUUGGCUGAGUUAACCUAUUUAAAAAGCUGGCAAAACAUUCCAAGUUGAUUAUUUACUUGGAGUAUUAGUAGUUUCAACCCAAUAAGUUUCUGGAUUGUUGAAACUGAAUUGAAACUUUAAGUUUCUUCAGAGAAUUGCUGGCAUUUUGUUUGGUAUCAUCUUUUUGUUGAUUCGGUUAACUCCUUUACUGCUUCUAACACAAGCAAAACCCAAUUGAAAUUGGUGAACUUUUAGCUUGUAUUAUUGGUUUCUGUUGGUUUGUAAUUGCAAGGUCCCCUUCAUGGUUACACUUGUAAUUUGUUUUCUCUUUCUAUACCAA